UCCACGGCUCCAGAAUGGCCAGCGGUACGCGCAGCAGCAACGCCUUUUUUCUAGUCGAGAGUUAGCCAAUCCCGAGACGCGAACCUACCCAGAGCUCCGCCCCUUCCGGAAGGAAAGCCAAUCUCUUUGAGGCGUUUGGAGGAGCCCAGGCUCGGUUUGAGCCUAGCGUAAACAGUGCGAACCGUGAGUUACCUAAAAGUAACCACGCUGUGCUUUGGGUAAGGGAUCGACCGAACGGUUAGGACGGAAAGUUCAACAGAGAGGAGUUGCAGGGCGCUUAUUCCUAGGACGACUACAAGUCCCAAGAUGCACCGGUCCCCCCACCGGUACCCGGAGGAAAUCUGUGACUCUACUUUAUGGCAAGUUGACAAGAACUAACCAGCACACUGCCUGGGCCUCCCAAGCCUGCUGAUGUCUGUGUUACAGUCCUGUAUCACCAUGACAGACUUCUGACUUUGAAAGCUUCCUAGACACAGAUGGCAACUGGAUAGUUCAGAAAGCUGAACUGAACUCCAAUUUUAAGAGGAUAAAGAAGUACAAAUAAGUCAUGACAACCUCACCUGACCAGAUGGUCCAAGGCUACCCACAGUUAUCCCACCCAAAUGCAUGCUGGUUUGAAUUCACUUCUUCUUGCAUAAGAGUUUCUGUUGUCUGCACCUUUGGAAAAUACUAGUGUGUGAAUCAGCCCUGAGAAGGCUUUCAGGAAUUCUAGGAAGGAAAGAAUAUCAUUUGUUCAGAUACUUUACAUGUAACAUAACAACAAUAAACUCCAACUCCUGCUGGUCAUAUUUUUAAAAAAUAAAAGUAUGGAAUUGAGAGAAUUCCACAGAAAAACA